UAAUGCUCGUUUGUUCGUUUUUUUCCUAAAACCAAUCGCUCAGACUAAAACACCGUACCAGCUUUAGUAUGACGUCAAGAUGACAUAUCAAUGUCAUCUAUCCUUGUUUUGAUUGGCUAAAAUACCAUCUACUUGAAUUCCGAUUGGUUUAUAAUUUUGGCACUUGAAUGGCUUUUAUUCAACUGACAAUCGCCAUGAAGAUGUUAAAUUCGUAAAUACUUUCUUUCAAGUUCUAUAAAUUCAGGCGUAUAUUCCUCACGGUUAAACCAACCAAGGACUACCUGAGGGUCAUGCUUGAUGCUAAAGGCUGGAAGACAUAAGAAUAGGCAAAUGUAGCCGGGCUUUCUUACUUUGAUACAGCAGUAUAAGUUAAUAGGAUUUUUAGAGCAAGAUACUUUGUGUCAAUGAUACUGUAAAUCUGUAAAACAUUUUUUAUCAACCUGAAGAUAAUGAGGAAAGGGGAAAUGAUAGGAGAGUGCUCAAUCAAGUUGUUGCAAUACUGUUAAAGUUUUUAUCAAAAAUAUAGUCCCAGUUUCUUUUUUCUCUCUCUAUUGACUAUUUUUAUAUGCAAUUGAUAAUUAUUUGCUGUUUCCCCUCUGCACCCCGAAUAAAUUAAAAUAGGUUAGGUUUUAAAUUAGACAUUUUCAUUAAGCACUAAUCAGUAAUAUCAAGGAUUUGUUUUUAAUUUGCUUCCCAAGUCAAUUUGUUCUCCUCCAUUUGAUUGCAUUUAAUUUUGCAGUAGCAUUAGCAUGUGUGGAUCCAGCUGCAGGGUUUCUAUAAAAUAAAAUAGACAGCAGGCCACCAUGCUAAAGGGUGGGUUCACCAAUAUGUAAUGCAUGACUGAGGUAUAUUUGUGGAUUUUAAUUUCCUUGGUGAUGGAGUAUCACUAGUAAGUGGCACCUGAAGUGUAUCUAACUAUAUCACUCUAUAUUUGGAAUGCUGUUUCAUCCAUUAUUUGUUUCUUUGCAAGUGCAAAGCCGGUCAGAAUGUACCUAGUGCUAGUGUAGUAGUGUACAUGAAUGGAACUUCUAUAAAAGGGUUUUUAUUAGAGCAAGGUACUUACUUAAUAAAUUAUAUAAAGAUAAUAACAAA